rnacentral:lncRNA from 1 species
CUGGGUUCUGUUGUUGGCAACCAACAGAGUUGUUGUCUUUUCUCGCAUUCAUUAAAAUGCACAAGAAGAAAUUUCUAAUGGUGAGGGAGUACUUGCUUCAAAUUCAUACUUCAGUGAAAUAAACAACACCAUACAUAGGAAUGUGAAAGCAAAGUCAUCAUACACUGUUUGCUUCAUUGUAUGAGAAUCAAUGUUUGCAUGAUAAACUGCCCUAAUGGAAGAGGACUCUGAGUUACCUUUUUCGAGCAAAGCCACCUAGGUUACUCUGUUUUCCCCAGAGUGACCCUUCUGUUCUGCAAAUUUUCAGAUUGAAGGGAGUAGCAGUAGAGUAUCAGAAGUAUCAGAAGCAAAAAAGUAAAUGUAUGAUUUGAAAUCUACUUAAAUGUACCAAUCACAGCAGAGUCUUUUGGAACUUAAACAUCUUGACUCUUCUGUUUAAAGCCUAAAUCAACCUGAGAGAAGAGAUGAAACAACUGAGGGCCAAAAAGUUUACAAAAUUUUCCAAGAUCAUACAGCUAAUUAACAACAUCUGGGCUCUUCUUGACUUUUGGAAUCCAAAAGGUGCUACCAGCAUCCCAAGGUGUCCAGCUUGUAGACAGCCUGUCGUGGGACUUCUCAACCUCCAUAAUUGUAUAACCUCAAAGUAAUGGGAGAAGAUACACAAGUGAUCAUUGCCAGGACUGAAGACUGUUCCUAGGACUACUAUUUGGAUCAACAGAAGCUGAAAAUGAGAAUAUCAAAGGCUGGGCAGAUAGUUUCACUCACGGGCAUUGAUCAGGAUGGCUGGAGGUCACCUGCUGCAAGAAGCACUGUGUUUUCUGUGCAGCUUAAUGAGAGGGAGCAUAUCAUUUCAGGACUCUCACAGGAUGCAGUGUUACUGAGAAUCUCAUGAGGCAAAUCCUAAAUGCCAGGAUAAAUUUGCAGAGAUAGAACUACUACUUUUUUUUUUUAAAUUUCCUUUUGUUAUGACUUGAACGUGUAAGGUCAUGCUUCGAGCCUGCUAUCCUAUAGCUCUCAAUUCUAAACUAGUUGCAAGUAUAUUGGACUUCUUGCCCUGACCCCUGUCCCUUUGAUAGGCCAGGUGAAUCCAAAUAUGCCCGAGUGCAUCUCACAGAAUACAUCUGAUUCUAGGAUGGGACUAGAGGUCUCCUGGUAUUUAGAACUGCAAAAUGAGGUAGCAAAAGCUCUAGUCAUAUGCCUCCCAUUUAUUUGACAUAUCAUCACAAACAUGUCCAUAAUUUACCAAGGUUGAUCCACUGCCUACUACAUUUGUGUGUGAAAAUGUGUCAUGCUUUGUGGAAAAAGUGAAAAUAGUUAUCUGUAUGGUGGGUGCACUUUGAGUGACUGGGGUGGGGUAUGAGCACUGUCUUACAAAAAAGUCAAGAGUAAUAUCUGACAAAGAUACUGUCCUUUACCCUGGAUACCAACAGAUGUUCUUGUUUUCAUUCAAAAUUACAAUUAUCAUUGAAGUGCACAGUGGCUUUUAAUUGAGACAGAUAAAACGUAACUUCAAGUAUUGAAGUAAUUUUUUUUUACUGUUUUUAAGACAACUGAAGAUCUGAGCAAUUCUUGGCAUGACUUUUCUCCAUUCAGUUUAGAUUUUUGUGAUAAAAGGCGACUAUAAUAAAGAGAAUGGUAAAGGAAAAUAUCUAACAUGGAAUUUAUAUCUAAUCUUCUUGAAAGUUAUGAACACUUGUUAAUCCUUAAUUUCAACUCUUGAGAUUUCAUCUGAUUUGAGAUAUUCCU